UUUCACAGCCAUAUCACCCUGCAGCCCAAAGAUCAGUUACUCACUGAAGCUAAGCAGGGCUGAGCCUGGUCAAUAUCUGGAUAGGAAACCACAUGGGAAAACUAGGUUGCUACUGGAAG
ensembl:rRNA 5S_rRNA 5S ribosomal RNA